rnacentral:rRNA from 1 species
CAGUAGCCGCGGUAAUACAGAGGGUGCAAGCGUUAAUCGGAUUUACUGGGCGUAAAGGGCGCGUAGGCGGCCAUUCAAGUUAGAUGUGAAAGCCCUGGGCUCAACCUAGGAAUUGCAUUUGAUACUGUUUGGCUUGAGUUCGGGAGAGGUGAGUGGAAUUCCCAGUGUAGAGGUGAAAUUCGUAGAUAUUGGGAAGAACACCGGUGGCGAAGGCGGCGACCUGGUCCUUGACUGACGCUGAGGCGCGAAAGCGUGGGGAGCAAACAGGAUUAGAUACCCGCGUAGUCCCUGUCUCUUAUAA